rnacentral:rRNA from 1 species
AUGAACGCUGGCGGCGUGCUUAACACAUGCAAGUCGAACGGAAAGGCUCCUGCUUGCAGGGGUACUCGAGUGGCGAACGGGUGAGUAACACGUGGGUGAUCUGCCCUGCACUUCGGGAUAAGCCUGGGAAACUGGGUCUAAUACCGGAUAGGACGAUGGUUUGGAUGCCAUUGUGGAAAGUUUUUUCGGUGUGGGAUGAGCUCGCGGCCUAUCAGCUUGUUGGUGGGGUAAUGGCCUACCAAGGCGUCGACGGGUAGCCGGCCUGAGAGGGUGUACGGCCACAUUGGGACUGAGAUACGGCCCAGACUCCUACGGGAGGCAGCAGUGGGGAAUAUUGCACUAUGGGCGCAAGCCUGAUGCAGCGACGCCGCGUGGGGGAUGACGGCCUUCGGGUUGUAAACUCCUUUCGCUAGGGACGAAGCGCAAGUGACGGUACCUGGAGAAGAAGCACCGGCUAACUACGUG